CAGAGUUGCAAAACUCCCUAAACCAUUGUGAACCUACCCUAAACAGUUGCUUCGGCGGCGCCCGGACAGGCCCGCCGGAGACCACUAACUCUUGUUUUUAACACUGGCCUCUCUGAGUUUACUGUACUGUAAUAAGUCA
rnacentral:misc_RNA from 1 species